AUGGAGGCGACGGUGCUGAGCGUCGGCAAGUCCGUGCUGAGUGGAGCGCUUAGCUACGCCCAAUCCGCCCUGGCCGAGGAGGUGGCCCUGCAGCUGGGAGUACGCCGUGAUCAGGCCUUCAUCACGGGUGAGCUCGAGAUGAUGCAGGGCUUCCUGAUGUGUGCACACGAGGAGGGGCGAGAUGGCAGAAGCAUGGUGGUCAAGAUCUGGGUGAAGCAAGUCCGUGACGUGGCAUACGACGUCGAGGACUGCCUCAUGGACUUUGCCAUCAGGUUAGAUCACCAGCAGUCGUGGUGGCGUAUCCCUCGAAGGCUGCUUGACCGGCGUUUCGUGGCCAAGGAAAUGAAGGAGCUCAGAUCCAAGGUGGAGGACAUCAGCCAGAGGAAUGUCCGGUACCACCUCAUAAAGGAAUCAUCUGGGCAGCCAUUGUCUACCACUGCCACCAUCAGCAGUGAGGUGAUACUUCACGUUGCCGAAGCAAAGAUACGAGCUGCACUUCACCUGGAAGAGGAAAAGGUGGAUCUUGCUGAGCUGAUCGCCAGAGAUGACCUUGGGUCAGCAACCGCGGUGUGGGGAGCAAGCACCGAUGUUGGGGUCACAUCUAUCAUCAGAGCUGCCUAUGACAGUAAACAAGUGAAAGAUAAGUUUCAGUGCCGAGCCUGGGUAAGGCUGAUGCAUCCCUUCAAUCCAAAUGACCUCUUUGUCAGCUUGGUGAGGCAGUUCUACCAAGAUUCAUGUGAAGAAUCUGGUAAAGCAAGCAUGCAAGGAGGAGGAACAGCCACUGGGCUGACAGUUCUGAAGAAGAUGGCAGCACCAGAUCAUAGUUUGGUCGAUGAGUUUAAUCGGUAUGUGACUGAGAAGAGGUACUUGGUUGUUAUUGCUGAUGUGUCUACCAUAGAAGAGUGGGACUGGAUCAAAACAUACUUCCCGAGAUUGAAUGGGGGCCGGAUUGUUGUGUCCACGCAGCAAUUUGAAGUUGCAAGGCUAUGCACUGAGCAGCCUUGCACAAUAUCAGAGAUAAAACAAAUAUGGUCAUUCGAUAAGGACUUAUAUGUCUUCUACCACAAGGCAGAGGCGGCUCGAAUCAAAGAGGACGGCAAGGCCGAGUCCAGCUCAAAUGGUGAGAUCACUAACGCUGAAGAAGCCGCUCGUGAGAAACAGCAGCAUGCAGAUCAGAAGCCCACUGGUGCCAGUGUAGUGGCAGCCGCUUUGGAGGAAGAUCGGCUUAUCGACCGGGUGGCAGCAAAAGCUAAAGUUAUUGAUUUCAUCGAUCAAGAUGGCGAGGUGAUCAGCAUUUGUGGAAUGGGUGGUCUUGGGAAAACCACUCUUGUCACAAGUCUCUACCAACAAGAACUCAGUGGAAGGUUUCAGAGGCGCGCUUGGUUAACGGUGCCGCGUCUAAACCAUCAAGAAUUUUACAAUGAUUUGUUACAGCAAUUAUGUGUGGAUUUUCAUGGAGACAAAGAAAAGCACGUCACUGAAACACAACAAGGUAACAAUGGAGAUGAGACACAACCAAAGAAAGAGCAAAAACCAGUUGACAUUUUGGCAAAGAUUUUAUUGGAAAACAAAUGCCUGAUUGUUUUUGAUGAUCUAUCAUCGACCAUGGAAUGGCAAUUGAUAAGGAAGCUCUUGCCAUCAUCGAAGGACAAUACCACUAACCGGAUCAUUGUCACAACGCGGGAACUGAAUGUUGCAAUGUGUUGUUCGGAGAAAGAACGCAAAAUAUACAAUCUCGAGCUUCUAACUAAACAGGAUGCUCUCCGCCUAUUUGAAAAGAAGGUAUUCAAGGAUAUCGAAGAGAGGGAAAGUUAUGCUCAUAUUCCGGGCCUGGCUGAGCAAGCAAAUCUUAUAUUGAAGAAGUGUGACGGCCUCCCUCUUGCUAUAUCUACCAUAGGUAGCUUCCUGGCAACCAAACCUAAAACUGCUAUAGAGUGGAGGAAUUUGAACAAACACAUCAACGCAGAGCUAGAGAUGAAUAAAGAGCUUGAGAUGAUACAGACAGUCCUUGCUUCAAGUUACGAAGGUUUACCUUAUUAUCUCAAGGUUUGCUUCUUGUAUUUAUCCAUUUUUCCUGAAGAUCACCGCAUCAGAUGGUCUCGUUUGGUGAGGCGCUGGAUUGCAGAGGGGUAUUCGAGGCGAAUACGAGACAAGACUGCAGUUGAAACCGGGAAUAGCUACAUCACCGAGCUUAUCAAUAGGAGUAUGGUCCGACCAUUACAAGGAGAUGGGAUUGCAAGUGGGAGGAAAGGUUUCUUGGACGUCCAUGAUCUCAUCCGUGACAUUGCAAUCUCAAAGGCAACAGAGGAAAGUCUUGUUUUUACACUGGAUGAAGGAUGUGAUUUAAACACCCAAGGCAAAAUCCGUCACCUUGCUGUAAGCAGCAGGUGGAAAAGAGAUAAAGAUGCAUUUGAGAGUGCACUGGACUUGUCUCACUUAAGAUCAUUAACAGUAUUUGGAAGAUUGGAGGCAUUUUUCAUUUCUGAUAAGAUGAGAUUACUCCGAAUACUGGACUUGGAAGACACAAAGGGUCUGACAGAUCAACACCUCCAUCAGAUUGGGAAGCUUGUUCACCUAAUCUACCUUUCUCUACGAGGAUGUGACGGAAAAUUGCGCCUGCCAGAUUCACUGGGUAAUCUGAGGCAUCUUCAGACACUGGAUGUAAGAGAUGUACGCAUAAUAAAUCUGCCAAGAACAAUUAUCAAGCUUGACCAGUUACGUUACCUCCUUGUGGGCUUUGUAACACGGAAUGAUGACAAGGAAACAGGAAAAUGGGUUUGCAUGGAACACAUAGAGCGGGCGCGCGACUUCUUGGAUGAAAGCCUGCCUGAGCCCAUCACUGACAGCCUCGAGUUCAUCUGGCUGGGACCCGUUCGUAUACAUCGCAGCAUCGUUUACCGCAGAAGUCACAGCAGUCCCUGCAUCAGAGUCUGCUUGUUCUGCUACAACUGUCUGUUUAGUUUACUAUUAAUCUCAGUUAGCUUAUUACUUUUUUCACCAUUUUGGUUACCAGUUUGCCUCUGCUACUUGAUGUUUCUCCCUGGGCGUUUCUUAUGGGUGCUUGCAAGAGAUGGUUGUGCCGGGGUGCCUGCUUACUUUAUGGGGAUAGAUCCAUCCGGUGUCAAAUUCCCAAGAGGAACCAGGAACCUCAAGUCUCUGCACACAGUGGGUGUUGUCAAUAUCGAUGGGGAAAAUGCCAUUCUUAAAGAGCUUCAAGAUCUUACCGAGUUGCGUAAGUUAAGAGUGACUGGUCUGAAUAAGAAAAAUCGCAAAAGCUUCUGUUCGGCCAUUGCAAAUCUCAAAUCCCUGGAAUCCUUGUUUGUGCGGUCAGAGGGGGAGCCUGGUCUAUCUGACUUCUUGGAUGGCCUGUCUGAGCCUCCAAAUAACCUUCAAAGCCUCAAGUUGUACGGCAACUUGGUCAAUCUGCCGGCAUGGGUCGAAAAGCUCACAAAUCUCGUGAAGAUGGAGCUACGGAGCAGCUGCUUAUCUGGGGAGGAGGUUGGUACCACGCUGCAAGUCCUUGGCAAGCUACCAAACCUAGCAAUAUUACGUCUGCUCAGGUGGUCAUUCAAGGGUCAAGAGCUGUGUUUCAGCUUCAAAGAGAAUGCAUUUCCAAGCCUCAAGGUGUUGUCGCUGGAUGUCCCAUGGGGCAUGCAAUUGGUCAAGUUUGAAGACGCGGCAGCGACCAGUAAGAUUGAGCUGCUGCAUGUGGAUUUUAAUUCGUAUUACCCUAGGGAAGAAGCUUCGAUGUUUUCUGGGCUACCAUCCUUGCCAAGCCUCAAGGAAGUCGUACUCAGCCAUGCCACUAAACGUUUUAUGGAUGUAUUGCGAGCCCAGUUUGCUGCGAAGACAAACCAACCCAUUCUGAAGGUCAAGAGUCAAUGGGAUUGA
rnacentral:rRNA from 1 species